rnacentral:rRNA from 1 species
UGGAGGUAGUGACAAUAAAUCACAAUGCGGGACUAUACGUCUUGCAAUUGGAUUGAGAACAAUGUACAACUCUUAUCGAUAAGCCAUUGGAGGGCAAGUCUGGUGCCAGCAGCCGCGGUAAUUCCAGCUCCAAUAGCGUAUAUUAACGUUGUUGCAGUUAAAAAGCUCGUAGUUGAAGUGUGGGUGAUCGCUGUUGUGAGACUUCGGUCUCUCGACAGUAAGUCACCCCCUUCCAGUAUCCAGUAGUGGGUAUUCAGUUACUUACUAUUGUGUGUUGGUCAUUUACUGUGAGAAAAUUAGAGUGUUCAAAGCAGGCGUUUGCUUGAAUAGAUUAGCAUGGAAUAAUAAUUGAAGGCUUUCGUGUUCGAUUUGAUUGGUUUGUUCAUGGAAGCAAGGUUAAAAGGAACAGUUGGGGGUAUUCAUAUUCACUAGUUAGAGGUGAAAUUCUCGGAUUUAUGGAAGAUGAACAAGUGCGAAAGCAACCGCUC